rnacentral:rRNA from 1 species
UGCAAGUCGAGCGAACAGACGAGGAGCUUGCUCCUCUGACGUUAGCGGCGGACGGGUGAGUAACACGUGGAUAACCUACCUAUAAGACUGGGAUAACUUCGGGAAACCGGAGCUAAUACCGGAUAAUAUAUUGAACCGCAUGGUUCAAUAGUGAAAGACGGUUUUGCUGUCACUUAUAGAUGGAUCCGCGCCGCAUUAGCUAGUUGGUAAGGUAACAGCUUACCAAGGCAACGAUGCGUAGCCGACCUGAGAGGGUGAUCGGCCACACUGGAACUGAGACACGGUCCAGACUCCUACGGGAGGCAGCAGUAGGGAAUCUUCCGCAAUGGGCGAAAGCCUGACGGAGCAACGCCGCGUGAGUGAUGAAGGCCUUCGGAUCGUAAAACUCUGUUAUUAGGGAAGAACAAAUGUGUAAGUAACUAUGCACGUCUUGACGGUACCUAAUCAGAAAGCCACGGCUAACUACGUGCCAGCAGCCGCGGUAAUACGUAGGUGGCAAGCGUUAUCCGGAAUUAUUGGGCGUAAAGCGCGCGUAGGCGGUUUUUUAAGUCUGAUGUGAAAGCCCACGGCUCAACCGUGGAGGGUCAUUGGAAACUGGAAAACUUGAGUGCAGAAGAGGAAAGUGGAAUUCCAUGUGUAGCGGUGAAAUGCGCAGAGAUAUGGAGGAACACCAGUGGCGAAGGCGACUUUCUGGUCUGUAACUGACGCUGAUGUGCGAAAGCGUGGGGAUCAAACAGGAUUAGAUACCCUGGUAGUCCACGCCGUA